AAUAGUUAUUUUACAAACUAUGAAUAAACUAUGAAUAAAAUUUUAUUAAAAAUGUAUAAUUAUAUUGAAUAUUGAAAUAUUUUUUAAAUAUCCCUCCAUUAAAAAAGUACCUAUCGAAUCGAAGAAGAUAGAUGUCGCAGUAUCGAUAUUCGAUUUAGAUUAAAUCGAUACUCGAUUUAAUAGACUAGCACAUAGUGUCAUCUAGUUUCAGUGGAGUGAGAGUGUACGUAGAAAUUUCUUCAAAAUUUAUUUCUUCGAUUAUUUCUUUUGGAUUUAUUGUUGCUGGUGUGAUUGGCGGUUCGUGCUGAGUGUCGUUUAACACAAAUGUCGUUGUGGGCUCUUCCCGCGAAUUUUGUGCAACUCUUCUACUUCCUGGAGGAAUAUAAGUCCACCAAGCCAGGAAAAAGAAAAGAAGGGAUGCUGCUUUGCCGAUGAAAGCUAAUGCUAGCAUAUAUCUGAAACAAGCGGCCAUUAUUGAAAUUAUAGAGGACGCCAUAAUCAAGUGUGGAACAAUGUCUACAGAUAUAGAAAUAAUAAACGAAGAUAUACAAACAUAGAGAAAUGGACUUCACAAGCUUGCAUACUAAGUAUUAAGAUAAGAAAUUAUACGAACUUCGACGUUAUUUAGUCGCAUUCCUUGAUAACAUCCUGCAUGACAAGGGGAAUAGUACGUGAUUCCAUCAACUCCGCAUAUUGGACUGAACUCUGAUCUCGAGCAGCCGCAGCCAUUAUUGCACGUGUUAUCCAAUGAAAAUGUUUUUCUGAUGGUCGAAUCACCUUUGGAAACCUCUUCUCGAUGACCCUUCAUCAAGGCCAGCUGCUUGAAAUUGGUGCUCACAUCCCAAACUCUGGCCGUGGUGUCGCUGCUCGCAGUGGCCAACUUUUUCCCAUUGUUGUCGAAGGUCAGGUCCAGGACCUCGUCAUCGUGUCCUCGAAAUGUGACCAGGCACGAGUUCAUUUUCGUGUCCCACACUUUGGCCGUUUUAUCCAUCGACGACGAGGCGAUCAACGAGCAAUCGAAGUUGUAAAUGCAGUUCGAUAAUUCGGAUCGAUGGCCGAUCAACACGCAUACGCGACUGGGAAAAAAGAUUUUUUUAAUUAUUAUUUUUAAUUUUCAAGAUUGAAAAAAGGUAUGUAUAUUUGGAAUGAUUGGAAAUAAACUCACGUGAGAAUCCUUGUAUCCCAAAUACUGACAGUGCCGUCGAAUGAACCCGUUAUUAUUUGAUUUCCAUCGUUAUUGAAGUGUAAAGCGAUUAUUUCUGCAGUGUGACCUCUCAAUAUCCCUAAUUCCUCACCUGUUAAACGAAUUCUUAUUUUAUUUUAAAAAAUCCAUAUCCUCGAGUCUCACCGUUUAAAGAUUCAUCGUUCGAAUUUAACUCGAGUUUUAUAAAAUAUUGAGAGUGAAAAAUGCUAUAUUUCUACAAUUUUAGAGAAAAGCGUAACGAAAGAUGUAACAUGGAAUUAAAUAAAAUGGAUAAUGGAUAA